GGCUUCAUGGUCAAGUGGUAAGAAUAUUUGCUUCUCAUCCAGGAGUCCUGGGUUCGAUUCCCGGUCGAGGAGCUA